rnacentral:misc_RNA from 1 species
UACGUGAGCCCCGAGCAUUACCCGGAAUUAUUGGGCGUAAAGGGUCCGUAGGGGGCUCUAUUAGUCUCGUGUUAAAUAUACAGGCUUAACCUGUAUGCUGCGCGGGAAACGGUAGAGCUAGAGGGUGUGAGAGGUUGGCGGAACGCACGGUGUAGGGGUGAAAUCCGUUGAUAUCGUGCGGAACAUCAAAGGCGAAGGCAGCCAACUGGCGCAAUCCUGACCCUGAGGGACGAAAGCGUGGGUAGCGAACAGG